rnacentral:lncRNA from 1 species
GCGGGAUCUCUUCGGUCCCCCAGGACCUCCAGGUGCAGAAGUGACCGCGGAGACUCUGCUUCACGAGUUUCAGGAGCUGCUGAAAGAGGCCACGGAGCGCCGGUUCUCAGGGCUUCUGGACCCGCUGCUGCCCCAGGGGGCGGGCCUGCGGCUGGUGGGCGAGGCCUUUCACUGCCGGCUGCAGGGUCCCCGCCGGGUGGACAAGCGGACGCUGGUGGAGCUGCAUGGUUUCCAGGCUCCUGCUGCCCAAGGUGCCUUCCUGCGAGGCUCCGGUCUGAGCCUGGCCUCGGGUCGGUUCACGGCCCCCGUGUCCGGCAUCUUCCAGUUCUCUGCCAGUCUGCACGUGGGGCUCUCUCCGCAGACCACAGUGAGCUGCAGGGCAAGGCCCGGCUGCGGGCCCGGGACGUGGUGUGUGUUCUCAUCUGUAUUGAGUCCCUGUGCCAGCGCCACACGUGCCUGGAGGCCGUCUCAGGCCUGGAGAGCAACAGCAGGGUCUUCACGCUACAGGUGCAGGGGCUGCUGCAGCUGCAGGCUGGACAGUACGCUUCUGUGUUUGUGGACAAUGGCUCCGGGGCCGUCCUCACCAUCCAGGCGGGCUCCAGCUUCUCCGGGCUGCUCCUGGGCACGUGAGGGCGCCCAGGGGGGCUGGCGAGGAGCUGCCGCCGGAUCCCGGGGACCCUCCUACUGAUGCCCGUGGUCACCACAAUAAAGAGCCCUCCACCCUCCCCACUG